CCCCUUAGUAAGCACUUCUCUAACCCAGAAUAGACACUGGGUAUCCUCCAAGAGUCCCAUAGCUUUCAUUUCAUCUUCCACCCUCUUCUGAGAGGGGGAGGCAGGGGAUAGGGGUGGUGUCAGGCAGUCUCCAAAAUGCCCCUCCUAGACCCCUGAGAGAAUUCACGUUGCCAGCAAUAAACCAACAGCACCUCAGUGGGGCAUCAGAGGGCCCUCUAGGCUCAAGGCUAUUGCCAAAGGCAUUCCUGUUUAUGGCUUCACGAUGGAACCAAGGAGGCUCUCGCAGACUCCUAGGGCUGGUCCUUCACUAUGGCUGAGAGCAGGGCAGGAUCCAGGAGAAAGUGGCCAAGGGCUAAGAGAGAAGAGAUUGCAUUUAAGAUACCCUUUGGAGUCUGGAAAGCACCUGGAUUUCUUGGGAGAGGAGCCUGGAUUUCUUGGGAGAGGAGGGCUGUGGAAGCCCCAAUCAGUUCUUCUUCGUUUUGGGAGUGUCAUAUUUCCUCUUGCUGGAGUACCACAAUAGCAGGGGGAUGCCGAUGGAGGGAAGGGUCAUGACCCCAAAGGCUGCCCAGUCCAGAAAAUGAGGGGAGAAUCGCCUGUCAAACUCCCGCUGAGCCAGGAUUCCUCCCUGUCCAGGUGCACUGGUAGAGCCAAUCACAACGGGCCCAUCCUCCUGGGCCAGGUAAGUAAUUGUUGCCGA
rnacentral:lncRNA from 1 species